AUGCAGUGUGCGGGACAGUACCGUGCCUCUGCCAGGAGUCCAGCUAUUGACCCGUGUGAUUGUGACAAGUUAGACUUUGAAGCUGCCCGAAGUAUAAAUAAAGGGAGUUUGAACAGAUUUGUCCAAGAUCGCACCAUCAUUGCAGCUCUGAAUGACCGCUUAGUCAAGCUUAUUGAACUGGCUCAUUGUUUUGAGGAGGAAAAUGAGUGUCUUGAAAGUCAGAUUCAGGAUCUGGAGGACAGACUGGCGAGUAACGAAGUUUCCUUGGGCUCCACUGUGCCUGUGCCUGACUCUGGCUUGGAUGCGGUGGUGCAGAGGCUGCGCAAAGAAAGGGUAGGACACUACAGGAGGUUUCCAUGGGUAAUGGCAUGUCUAAAUCAGGCUCUGAAUUAGAUACUUCAUGAAAAUCCACAUACCCUGUAUGUGCCCAGGCAUCUAAUGCCUCUGUAAUGCUUUUCACAGUUUGGAGGGAAGAGUAAUCCAUCACAGAAGCAAUAAC
rnacentral:lncRNA from 1 species